rnacentral:rRNA from 1 species
CCUACGGGACGCAGCAGUGGGGAAUAUUGCACAAUGGGCGCAAGCCUGAUGCAGCCAUGCCGCGUGUAUGAAGAAGGCCUUCGGGUUGUAAAGUACUUUCAGCGGGGAGGAAGGCGAUAAGGUUAAUAACCUUGUCGAUUGACGUUACCCGCAGAAGAAGCACCGGCUAACUCCGUGCCAGCAGCCGCGGUAAUACGGAGGGUGCAAGCGUUAAUCGGAAUUACUGGGCGUAAAGCGCACGCAGGCGGUCUGUCGAGUCGGAUGUGAAAUCCCCGGGCUCAACCUGGGAACUGCAUUAGAAACUGGCAGGCUGGAGUCUUGUAGUGGGGGGUAGAAUUCCAGGUGUAGCGGUGAAAUGCGUAGAGAUCUGGAGGAAUACCGGUGGCGAAGGCGGCCCCCUGGACAAAGACUGACGCUCAGGUGCGAAAGCGUGGGGAGCAAACAGGAUUAGAUACCCCGGUA